CCUACGGGGGGCAGCAGUGAGGAAUAUUGGUCAAUGGGCGGAAGCCUGAACCAGCCAAGUAGCGUGCAGGAUGACGGCCCUACGGGUUGUAAACUGCUUUUAUACGGGAAUAACGCGCCUUACGUGUAGGGCUUUGCAUGUACCGUAUGAAUAAGGACCGGCUAAUUCCGUGCCAGCAGCCGCGGUAAUACGGAAGGUCCGGGCGUUAUCCGGAUUUAUUGGGUUUAAAGGGAGCGUAGGCCGGAUGUCAAGCGUGCUGUGAAAUGUCCGGGCCCAACGCGGGCCUUGCAGCGCAAACUGGCGUGCUUGAGAUCGCGGAAGGCAGGCGGAAUUCGCCGUGUAGCGAUGAAAGGCUUAGAGAUGACGAAGAACCCCGAUUGCGAAGGCAGCAUGCUGCAGCGGAACUGACGCUGAUGCUCGAAAGCGCGGGUAUCGAACAGGAUUAGAUACCCGUGUAGUC
rnacentral:rRNA from 1 species